rnacentral:rRNA from 1 species
GAUGAACGCUAGCGGCAGGCUUAACACAUGCAAGUCGAGGGGCAGCGUGGAGCAGCAAUGCUCUGACGGCGACCGGCGGAAGGGUGCGUAACACGUGAGCGACUUGCCCGUCACAGGGGGAUAACCGGCGGAAACGGCGACUAAUACCCCAUACGAUGCGAUGCUGCAUGGCAUUGCAUUGAAAGAUUCAUCGGUGGCGGAUAGGCUCGCGGGACAUUAGCUAGACGGCGGGGCAACGGCCCACCGUGGCGACGAUGUCUAGGGGUUCUGAGAGGAAGGCCCCCCACACUGAGACUGAGACACGGCCCAGACUCCUACGGGAGGCAGCAGUGAGGAAUAUUGGUCAAUGGACGAGAGUCUGAACCAGCCAAGUAGCGUGAAGGAUGAAGGUCCUACGGAUUGUAAACUUCUUUUAUAAGGGAAUAAACCCUCCCACGUGUGGGAGCUUGUAUGUACCUUAUGAAUAAGCAUCGGCUAACU